GCUGACGGGUGACCUGCUGCUUCAAACCAAUGGCCAGGUAGUCUUCUCCUGCUCCAUACUGUGGCCAGUGAGCAAGACCGUCACCAUUAGGAGACCUGCACACACACACAAGCUGUAAACACAGCAACCUGGUGUCCAUGACAUGGGUCUAAAAUAAUGAGACUGAGGUGAAACAAUCUGCAGGAAUCUCCUACAUCCUACAAAUCAGCCGGUCAAUGGUUUGUAUACAUCAAUUACCAGAUAAUUUGACAUGAGUAGUUGUGAAGCAAAAUCCUAACACUGUGAAGAUUUCAUCUCCAUGGUCCGUCCGAACAAAGCUUGGCCUUUGUUCCUUCUGGAAUGUGGGAGGAUGCUGGUACUCAUACAGUGCUGCAGCCAGAUACAUUUGCCACCAACUGAGGACAGACAUCAGGGAUCAAGCUAAAGAAUGCAUCAAAUGUUUUGUAGAUUUGUAGAUUUUAAAUUUGUUGUAGAAAAUAAGCAAUGGCAGUGAACCUGUGUCAUUGGUAGAGGAUUGUUUGACUGGUGCACAUCCACUGCAGCAGCUCCACUCUCAGCAAUGGCACGAUGAAACAAACCAUCAGACAACGGCUGUUCCAUCUGCACAUGAAGCCAUACCAAUAAGGAAACACUCCUUCCACCUGCAGACUCUCCAAAUACGGUGACUAAAUCUGGAUCUCCACCAAAGCUGUGAAUGUGCUGCUGGAUCCACCUCAGAGCUUGUACCUGG